CAUUAUGGAAACAUAAUUAGUCAUAUUGAUGUAGAUAUGUCAUAUCGUGCUUAGUAAUUGUGUACUGGUUUGUCGUAUUGGAUCAUCGACUCAUGAACUGUCUGUGCUGGAGAGUCUCAGGUUUGCUCUGAUCUCCAUGAAGCUCUUUGGGUUUUCGUCUGAUGAAUAGAUGACCUGGUCAUAGUUACCAUGGAAAUUGUAACCAUGAGACAUUUGUGAUCUGUUGCUGAGACACAGAGGGCAGCUCAGUGGAUCCAGUUUGCAUGACUCCAGGGAAAUGUCGGAUUAAACGGAAGGAGAACUGAGGUUGCAGUCAGGUCAUAUCCUGGAAGGAGCUUGUUUUCUGUCAUGAGAAAAGAAAGUCAUGCACCCUUGUGUGGAACGACAUGAGGUCAGCUUGCACUGCCAGACGGCUGUGGAACGGGCCUCUCAACAACAAAUGAAACAAAAUGAAACAGACAAAUUGCUGUGAGCCUGAACUGCAAAAAGAUGAAGCUGUAUUGUGUUUCCGGAGUGCAUUGACAGGCUUUAUUGCAGUGAAGUUUUUUGCGAUUGGCAUCAUCUCACAUGUGUGAGCGCCAGUGCUCUCCUCCUCUUAAUGAGAGUGGAUGUUGAUGGCCGUUAUCAAGUCCUUCCGUUCGCCUCCCCACGGCGUGCUCUUCACAGGGGACCGCAGCGUUCAACCCCUCAAGUAUCUAUCUGCUCUGCGUCACCGCCAAAUCACCAUGGCGAUAGUGGCGCUCAGGGCCCUGAAUGAGGCACCGGCUCUGUUUGAGACGUCUGCAGAGCCACAAAGACAGGAUCAUUUGUACAGCGAAGAGGCCGUGGAACAAUACAGGGAAAUUAGACAUAAAAAAACCGCCUUCAGUUUAAAAUUCUGAUGCAUUCUUCUAAAUAACGAGAGUGCUGUUUUUGAUGCUGAUGAACAGAGGCUUUAUCAAACCAUAUAGUGCUCUGAUGGUGAAGGACGUCUAAAUCUGGUGAAGUCUUCAAUUAAGAGACGUCUCUCUCAUCCUGCUUAUGUGGGACUGGAAAUGGAAUAUUUUGUCUUUUUCAAUCUUUUUGCCAUGGAAACACUUCAGCAGCUAUUGAUUUUGAGAUGUUUUUCCAUCUGUUGAGAGCAUUCAUAUACUGUAUAUAUAAAAAAAAGCAUUUUCCAGGAAUAUGCUACAUUUUGAUGCUGCAUUUUUAAUCAUUAAACACCAAAUGCCAUGUUUUUAUUUGAUUUUAUUUGUUUGUGUGUGUAGUGAGAACCAUUAGAUAUGUUAGAUAAAUUAACCUAGCAUGAAAAGCAUUUUAGACAAAUAUAUAUAAUUAAUCUUUUAAUGGAUAUUUUACAAUUCUUUUAAUGCAUUCUUUUAAUACGAUUUUAAUACAUAUUCUCCUAAAAUUUGGUAGGAGUGAUAAAAAUAGACACAAAUUGUUGACAUACAAUAAUGGAGUUAUAAAAUGUGUAUUGCAGCUCAGAUGUUUUUUAAGGUCCAUCUUAAGUUCUUUUCAUCGCAGACUUUUCUGGAAAUCUAGAUCAGUGUCUCUCAGCUUCUGUUUCUGGUGGUGAGCUGUUUUAUACCCACCAAAACCUCUAGACACAGCUAAGCUUGUUUGUUUCAAAUGAAUAUAUUUGCUGUCUAGAAGAAACGGUUUCGAUAUUAAAGAUUUGGGAUUUUUCUUUCCAGCAUGUUUCACAGUCUAUAUACACUACCAUUUAAAAGUUUG